rnacentral:lncRNA from 1 species
GAUCCUCAGCCCUGAACACAGUGCUUGGUACCAGUACAUCCUCAAUAAAUACAUCUGUACCCAGAUGUCCAUGGAAGACGUGUUCCAAGACCACCCUUCAAUACCCAAAUCCAUGGAUGCUCAAAUCCCUUCCAUAAACUGAGGCAAAACAUUUGCUGAGUACGGGCUAUGACAGACAGACACUGUGCUGAGACAUGCGGCAAAGGCAGAUGCAGAGAAGCCAAGGGGCAGUGGGACCCCAAGAGAGAACUCUAACUCAUCCCGGGAUAAGAGAGAGCUUCCUUAGGAGAGGACACCCAAGCUCAAUGGAGUGUGAUGGAGGAGGAGGCAGGAAAGAGAACAGGGGAAGAGGAAGCAGCGUGUGCAAAGGCCACUGCUAGCACAGGAUGAAGAGCAGUGAGAGACCAGGUGGAAGAAGCAGAGGACCAGCUGUGACCACUGCAGUAAUCCACAUAUGAGAUGAUGGUGCUGAGGAGGAGGCUGAAGAGCCACCACAACAUGGCAUCCAGGAUCUUCUGUUGCUGCUGCAAGGCCAGUGAGGGGGCUUCCAACACUGUGGGCUCCCACAGCCCAAGAAUGUUCCAACAGCAUCAUCCAUGGUCCUCCGAUCUGAAGGCAGGCUCUUACCAAGAUAGUUUGCAAAAGAAACACACACACUGCUCCCAAAACAACCGGAUGACAGUCAAGACAUGCAACCUUGGGUGACCCUGAGCAUUCUAGUCAGUGGCGCCCCCAUGAGGCUCUGGCUGCACAGCUGCAGAGGAUCUCCAUGAGGAGGAAGGCAGUGGGCAGGAGUCAUAAAGACUGAUUCAGAAACUUCAGGCAGGAAGAGAAGAUGUCGGAGUCAACCCUGUGCCAUCUGCUGGAGUCCCACCAUCUGACACAGCCAGGGCAGGAAGAGCUGUCUCCAAUUAAAG